rnacentral:rRNA from 1 species
GACAAACGCUGGCGGCAUGCCUAACACAUGCAAGUCGAACGGACAGAACAGGGAAGCUUUUCGGAGUGGAACUGGAAAGUUAGUGGCGGAUGGGUGAGUAACGCGUGGACAACCUACCUUGUAAAGGGGAAUAACCUCGAGAAAUCGAAGCUAAUACCCCAUAAUAACCUUGCUUCGCAUGAAGUAAGGAGGAAAGGCGGCCUUAGCGCUGUCGAUACAAGAUGGGUCCGCGUCUGAUUAGCUAGUUGGUGAGGUAAAGGCUCACCAAGGCGACGAUCAGUAGCCGGCCUGAGAGGGUGAACGGCCACAUUGGGACUGAGACACGGCCCAAACUCCUACGGGAGGCAGCAGUGGGGAAUCUUCCGCAAUGGGCGAAAGCCUGACGGAGCAAUGCCGCGUGAGUGAAGAGGGCCUUCGGGUUGUAAAACUCUGUCCUUAUCGAAGAGAGAGUGUUGUAGUAACUGACAAUACUAGGACGGUAGAUGAGGAGGAAGCCCCGGCUAACUAUGUG